rnacentral:rRNA from 1 species
GGGUCAGUAGGUUGGUCGUGCCACCGGUACGUACUGGUCUCACUGAUUACUCCUUCCUGAAGAACCGUAAUGCCAUUAAUUUGGUGUUGCGGGGAAACAGGACUUUUACUUUGAAAAAAUUAGAGUGUUUAAAGCAAUCUAACGCUUGAAUACAUUAGCAUGGAAUAAUGAAAUAGGACGAUCGAUCCUAUUUUGUUGGUUUCUAGGAUUGACGUA